CCUGCUGUCUUUAUCGUAUCAAGAUCUUCUCUGGCUUUGAACAACCAUGCUACUCUGUUGCCAAAAAUCAAGUAAAGCGAAUGUGUGCAGUUACUCUCCUCUUGAAUUUGAAGAAGGUGGUAACUUUGUAUAGUGCCUGGAGUUUCUAAAUGAUUUUAUCAGUGGAAGUUAUAAACUUCAGAGACCUAAAGAAAUCAUCAUGAAGCUAUAUGUAUUUUUGGUCAACACUGGAACUACCCUUACGUUUGAUACUGAACUUGCUGUGCAAAAUGUGGCUGAUCUGAAACAUGCAAUUCAAACAAAGUAUAAGAUUGCCAUUCAGCACCAAGUGCUAGUAGUCAAUGGAGGAGAGUGUAUGGCACCAGACAGAAGAGUGUGUAGUUACAGUGCUGGAACAGACACCAAUCCAAUUUUUUUAUUCAACAAAGAAAUGAUCCUGUGUGAACGUCCACCAGCUAUCCCCAAAACUACGUUUUCAGCAGAGAAUGAGAUGGAAUUGAAAGUAGAAGAAUCUCUUAUGAUGCCUGCAGUGUUUCAUACGGUAGCAUCACGAACACAACUUGCUGUGGAAAUGUAUGAGGUUGCCAAGAAACUUUGCUCCUUUUGUGAAGGUCUUGUACACGAUGAACAUCUUCAGCAUCAGGGCUGGGCUGCCAUAAUGGCCAACUUGGAAGAUUGUACAUACUCUUACCAAAAGCUGCUUUUCAAGUUUGAAAAUGUGUAUUCAAGCUAUUUGCAGUCCAUAGAUGAUAUCAAGUUGAAACUUACACAGUUGGGUUCUGCUGUUUCUAUCAUGGCCAAGAUUCCACUGUUGGAGUGCCUAACAAGACAUAGUUACAGAGAGUGUUUAGGAAGACUGGAUUCUUCAGCUGAGCAUGGAGGAACAGAAAGUGACGAAACUGAGGAUGGGAAAUCUGCUGAAUUGGUGCUUUAUCCUGAUGCAUCUAAAGUGAACAAUAAAUCAAUGUUAGCAUCAUUUUGCAAGUCAGUUGAACAUUCAGCAUUGGAAGGCACAGACCCUGAAAAUGUAAAAGAUGAUAAGGAAUGUGGUCAAAAUGCUACUGUCCAGGACAGCGAAACAUCAGUAGAAUUGAAAGAUGAUGAUCAACCUUCCUUCAAUGUGUCUUUGUUAGACUGGAUAAAUGUUCAAGAUAGACCUAAUGAUGUUGAAUCCCUGGUCAGAAAAUGUUUUGAUUCUAUGAGCAGGCUUGAUCCAAGGAUCAUCCAGCCCUUUCUGGCAGAAUGUCGCCAAACUAUCGCCAAACUAGAUAAUCAGAACAUGAAGGCUAUUAAAGGUCUUGAGGAUAGACUCUAUGCAUUGGACCAGAUGAUAGCAAGCUGCAGCAGACUGGUGAAUGAACAAAAAGAACUUGCUCAGGGAUUUUUGGCUAAUCAGAAGAGAGCUGAGAACUUGAAAGAUCCUUCUGUGCUGCCUGAUUUGUGUUUGAGUCAUGCAAAUCAGCUGAUGAUUAUGUUAACUAAUCACAGAAAACUGUUAGAUAUUAAACAGAAAUGUACCACUGCCAAACAAGAGCUUGCAAAUAAUUUGCAAGUCAGACUGAAGUGGUGUUGUUUUGUAAUGCUUCAUGCUGACCAAGAUGGAGAGAAACUACAAGCACUACUUCGUCUUGUAACAGAACUCCUAGAAAGGGUCAAAGUUGUAGAGGCUCUCAGUACUGUUCCUCAGAUGUACUGUCUAGCUGUUGUUGAGGUUGUGAGGAGAAAAAUGUUCAUAAAACACUACAGGGAGUGGGCAGGUGCUUUAAUAAAAGAUGGUAAACACCUAUAUGAAGCUGAAAAGGCAAAAAGGGAAUCUUUCGGUAAACUGUUCAGGAAGUCUUUUCUAAGGAAUCGUUUGUUUAGAGGACUUGACUCCUGGCCUCCAUCCUUUUGUACACGAAAACCUCGCAGAUUUGACAGUGAGCUUCCAGAUAUCUCAUUGAGUGACUUGCAGUUUUUACAGUCUCUUUGUCCUUCAGAAGUACAACCAUUACUCAGGGUUCCCAUACUUUGUGACUUCGAAUCUCUUCACCAGCAUGUACGUGCUCUACAUAACCUGGUAAAGGCAGCACAGAGUUCAGAUGAAAUGUCACAAACGAUUACAGACCUGCUGAAUGAACAAAAGGCCUCCAAUAGCCAAGCUUCGCCACAAUCUGCUACCACACCAAGGAUGGAAAGUACAACAGGAACCGCAAUUGCUACCUCUUCAAGAACUCCUCCGUCACUCAGUCUUCAGGGUCCCCUGUGUCCUUCUGUGUGUCCCCCGGCUCCAUUAGAAGAAUUGUCUCCAGACAGCAUUGAUGCUCAUACAUUUGAUUUUGAAACUAUUGCCCAUCCGCACUUGGAGCAAGCUCUUAAGCAAGGAUCAUUAGACUUGGAUUCAUUAGCAGAAAGUCCAGAAUCUGACUUUAUGUCAGCAGUAAAUGAAUUUGUAAUAGAGGAAAAUCCGGUAUCUCCUAAUGUAAUAAGUGACCCACAAAGUCCAGAAAUGAUGGUGGAAUCUCUUUAUUCCUCAGUUAUCAAUGCAAUAGACAGUAGACGUAUGCAAGAUACAAGUUCUUGUGUAAAGGAUGUUUCAGUAGAAAAUGCUUCUCUCAAUGUUUGUGUGGAGAAGUGUCGGGUUAUUGCCCAAGACUCCAAGGUACAUUUAAGAGGCAUAAAAGAAGAUCUUUGCCACUUUAGAACACUUGUACAAAGAGAACAGUGUGACUUUUCUAAUUCUUUAAAAUGCACUUCCUUAGAAAUAGUAAAUACAAUUGAGAAGGUAAAACUUUCACUUGAAAAAACACUAAAUGAUAAGCAUCAAAAUGAACUACAGUCUUUGAAAAGUGAAUAUGAAACUAAAAUUAAUAAAUUAUUGGAGGAUGGUGAAGAAAAUAAAAAGAAGAUUAAAAAAUUAAAAGGUGACUUAUUAGGCCUUGAGGAAGUUCUUCAGAAUAAGAAUGAUGAAUUUGCAAUGGUAAAAAAUGAAAAAGAAGCUGUAGUUUGCCUCCAGAAUGAAAAAGACCAGAAAUUACUUGAAUUAGAAUGCCAAAUGGAGACACAGAAUUCUGAAAUUAAGGAACUGAGGCAGUCACGUGAAAUAGUACUUGAAGACUUGAAAAAGCUUCAUGUUGAAAACAAUGAAAAACUACAACUCUUGAGGGCAGAACUCGAGAGUUUAGAGCAAAGCCAUUUAAAAGAACUGGAAAGCAACCUACAAGCCAGGCAUUUACAGGAAUUUGAGAAGGUGCUAGCUGAGCACAAGGACUGUUUGGAUAAAUUAAAAAAAGAGAACCAGCAUAGACUUGAACAAAUGCAGGAAUCUCAUGAAGUAGUUAUGCAGGAGAAACAACAACAAGUAGAAGAGUUACAACUCAAGGUUUCAGAUCUGUCUGAUUUGAGGUGCAAAUUAGAAGUUGAACUUGCCCUGAAAGAGGCAGAAACUGAUGAAAUGAAGCUUCUUUUGGAAGAAAGCAGAAACCAGCAACAAGAGACCUUAAGAUCUCAGAUUGAUAAGGAAACAGAAAGCUUAAAAAAGGAGAUAGAUAAAUUAAACAAUAAAAUACAAAUUAGCAGUGAUGAAUAUCAAGUGGGCUUAUCAGAACUAAGGACUCUGAUGACAAUUGAGAAAGAUCAGUGCAUUUCUGAGCUAGUAGAUAGAUAUGAAGAAGAAUCAAAUUUACUUAGAACUGAAUUAAAUAAGGUAACACUUCUUCAUAAAAAAACUACUGAGGCAGAAAAAAGACUUUCAGAGCAAAUAACAGAACUACAGAGUAAGUUAGAGUUGGAAAUGAGUGCCCUAGAAAAGGAAAAAACAGAAAAAUUGUCUCUCUGUGAGCAGCAGGAAAAAUAUGAAGCAAUUAUCCAUAAGCUAAAAGAAGAGAAAGAACUGUUAGUAUCUAACCAAGAACAAGACAGACAGUUGCUCAUUCAGAAACUGACUUGUGAAAAAGAAGAUGCAGUACAAACUGCUUGUAAAGAGUUUGAAUUACAGAGGGAAGCUGCUGAAAAAGGGCUUUUGGAAAAAAUACAACAACUUGAGAUGCAAGUAAAUCAGAGUCCUCCUGCUGAAUCAUCUGCUGAAUCAACUUUAGUUGCUGAACUUCAAGAGAAGCUUCAGGAAGAAAAAAUGAAGUUCUUGGAGCAACUUGAAGAACAAGAGAAAAGAAAGAAUGAAGAAAUGCAGAACAUCAGAACAUCACUCACUGCAGAACAGCAGACCAACUUUAACACUGUUCUGGCAAGAGAGAAAAUGAAAAAAGAAAAUAUAAUUAAUGAUCUUAGUGACAAAUUAAAAGUGCUUACACAACAGCAAGAAAAAGAUAAGGAUUUGAUUGAAACACUUUCUGAAGACCGAGCUCGCUUGCUUGAAGAGAAGAAGAAGCUUGAAGAAGAAGUUAAUAAACUGAGAAGUAGUAAUUUUUCUCCAUCAACCUACUCGGCAGCAGCGUCAGAAGUUUGUGGAGCCUGUGCAGCUGAUGUUCCCACUGACACAGACAGAUUGGUUUCUGACUUUGGGGCUGAAGGGAGAAUGGACUCCACAAUGGAAACCAGUAUGAUGGCUGUGCAUGAAAAUGUCCAUAUGUCUGAAGAAAAGCAGAGGAUAAUGUUGUUAGAAAGAGUGAGUAGAUUGUUUGGGAGGUGAAGUGUUACAACUAAUUACUUAUAAAUAUGUGCGUGUGAAGUUGUGCUGUCACCAGUUAUAUGCUCUGAUGCAAGACACUGUCUGCAAGGAUUAUAAAUAUAAUUUCAGGGCAUGUUUUUUCACUGUACUCUUUUUGGAUCAGUAUAAUUCACUGAAGUAAUUCAAGAUAAGUAUUAGUACAUUAUUCUUGUCCUAGCUUUGUUUUAUUCUGUUUAUGUAGGCUUCAGUGUGAAUGACUCAGAUGUAAUAUUUUUUCUUAGAAGUGACAGGUGACAUUGAUCCAGAGAAUUUCUGCAGUAAAAAAAAAAGUUGUGAUUACUUUUUCAAAUUAAGACAUACAAAGCAGCUGGACAGGAAUUAGAAUUGAUUUUCUGCUUUCUCAUGGAAAUGAAUAAUUUCUCUUAGGCUGUAUUCUGGGGAAAAGAUGAGAUUAACCCCUAGUCGUUACACUACAAUAUUUCAGAUUCGAGGAAAUUUAACUGUCCAGUCAUGUCUAACUCCAUCUCAGUUGCCAUUUUAAAGUUGACUAUAAAAAACCAAAACAGCAAUAUCCUUAACUUUCAGCUUUCUAGGAUCAUUUGGACUAAAAUCUCUGACCUGACAGAGAAAACUAGUGUUUUCUGUUGAUGCACUGUGGGACUCUAUGAUGCAAGUGCCUGGAUGUUACUGGCAGAAGUGCUUACCUGCUUUAUUCUGUCAUCUGAUUAUAAAGGAUUUGUCAUGGGUAGAAGCUUUAAUGUAGUAAUAUAUUACAUUUCUUCUGCUGUUCUAUCAGUGACUUGUUUUUCCAACUAAAAGGAAAAUAUGAGUGUGGAGGUAAAUACAGCUUAGUAGUGGGUUUUGUAGCACUGGGAUAAUUGGUAGACUUCAAUUUUUUUUUUUACAUGUCUUUAUUCAAAAUAUAUUUUGAUAAUUGUUUUAGAAUUGAAAGCUGUAGUAUCGUAUAAGUAGUCAGGCUCUAGUCAUAUCAAAACUUUUUUAAAGUGUUUGUACUGUAUAAAGUGUACUAGUUAGCUCAUCAGAUGAGAUUUUCUUUCAGACUUUGCAGUUGAAAGAAGAGGAAAAUAAGAGAUUAAAUCAAAGAUUGAUGUCCCAAAGCAUGUCAUCAGUAUCCUCAAGACAUUCUGAAAAAAUAGCAAUUAGAGAUUUUCAGGUUGGCGACUUGGUUCUCAUUAUCUUGGACGAAAGGCAUGACAACUACGUGUUGUUCACUGUUAGUCCAACCUUGUAUUUCUUGCACUCAGAGUCCCUUGCUGCACUGGAUCUCAAACCAGCAUCAGGUGCAUCUCGGAGACCUUGGGUGCUAGGAAAAGUGAUGGAAAAGGAAUAUUGCCAGGCAAAAAAGGCACAAAACAGAUUUAAAGUUCCUUUGGGUACAAAAUUCUACAGAGUGAAAGCAGUACCAUGGAACAAAAAAGUAUAACACAACAAAAUUUUGGUUUCUUCUGUCUCCGUUCUUUUUUUGACUUGUCCUUCAGUGCUCAUUCAUCGCUUCAAAUACCAGGCCAUCUUUUUAUACUGAGGUCAUGAGACAAGAUACGUCAUUGAUGUACUGCUCUUACUUUUUAACAGGUGACAUUUUAGAAACAAGAAAUUCAUCAAAAACUCUGGCCCUAACUGCUUUGAUUUUUCUUUUUUUUUUUUUACCCAGAUAACUUUAAGAGUGUGGACCAAAUGAGUUCAUUUUCUCGAAGGGCAACCACCUGAAACAUGGUUUGUUAGCCAUGUUAAUUGCCUGUUAAAUAUACAUUAGCUUGUAUUUAGAUGUUAAAUGUUAGUUACCAUUAUUACCAGCAUAUGUCCUUUUGUGAAAUCAUUAUCAAAGUACUUGCACUCUUUAACAGAUUCUUUAUAUGUGUAAAAUUCAUCAACUAUUUAAAGAGGAGUGUUCAUUGCAUGCAGAUAAUCAUAUAAUUUUUCUUCAACAUGAGUUUGCCUCAGUAGAUGAAUAAAAAUAACUACUGCAGCUUGUUUCAUUACAUGAAAAUGCUCUUUAAUGUUAAAAAAACCCUUGUAAUUUGAUAGACUGAUUUUGAAAAUCAGUCACAGUUAGAUCUGCAAUCUUCAAAAGCACUUUCAAUGGAUUGAUCACACAGAUUCUGAAGGGAAGACACCUGUGCCGUUUGUUGAAAGUGAAGCACUUGUUCUUCUCAACAAAACAGAAAUCUUGUAUUAAUCUAUUUAGAAAAAUCAUAUUGAUGAAAUUGUAUUUCAUGGUUGAGUUUCAGGAAAAAACUCAUUGUACAUUAACCAUACAAGAGUCAUUUAAGUAACAAAUUAUUGUAAUUGUAAAAGACAUGUAGAAUUUUAAAACAAUAAAGAUUUGAAACC